rnacentral:rRNA from 1 species
UACCAGCACCCCGAGUGGUCGGGACGUUUAUUGGGCCUAAAGCAUCCGUAGCCGGUUCUACAAGUCUUCCGUUAAAUCCAACUGCUUAACAGGUGGGCUGCGGAAGAUACUAUAGAGCUAGGAGGCGGGAGAGGCAAGCGGUACUCGAUGGGUAGGGGUAAAAUCCGUUGAUCCAUUGAAGACCACCAGUGGCGAAGGCGGCUUGCCAGAACGCGCUCGACGGUGAGGGAUGAAAGCGUGGGGAGCAAACAGG